rnacentral:misc_RNA from 1 species
GGAAGCAUUAUUGUUGUAGUACAAUAAAGUGAAAUCUGAAUUCAAUCUAAAUCUACAUCAACAUCUGGCAAAAUUAUGUCUCCAAGGAGCCAACGAAGGAAACUCGGGAUGAAAGAAAUCUUGAACCCCAUGAACCAGCACACGCCUAUCAUUGUAGAUAUUCCAUUCUGUGAUUUUUACGUCAUUAAUAGAAGCAUAACCAUACUUGCGAACUUGACUCACCAAAAGGGUAUCGUGAUCAAUGUCCAGCGUCAGUAGCUCCGAGCCUCUCGAUAGCAAUCCCGAAUCAAAGCUGCUUUGUCAACUUUAGAUAUUGCAACCUGGUACUAUGAUCCAAUCCUUAAUGCUCACAGCUUCAUCUGAAGGAGCAAAUAUAGUGAUUGUAUUAUUGCAACAUAGUGUGAUUCUAUGACGCUUGUAGUCAUUAAGAGGUACGAUCGAGGCUAGCUGUUUCUCAAGAAUUAAGGACAAAACCUUGUAGCCGGCAUCCCAAAGGGCUUUCUUAAUCUUGACAAUAUCGACCGUCACCUUAUGUUCUGAUGGGAAGAAGACACACAUGAGAUACGCUCCUUUUGGUUCUUCUGGAAUAGGGUAGCAAGUUUCAGGAGGGAGUUUUGGCCGGCUAAGCAUAAAAUCCCAUCCAUAGGUCUGAUUCGUCUGAAGGAGGACCGAGAUCAGUAAAAAGGGCAAAAGAGAGUAAAGGAAAGGAGCAGAUGCCAUGAGAUUAAUAGUGGAAUUAGC